GCAAGAUACCACGGGCGCACGGCGGAUGCCUUGGCACAGGGAGCCGAUGAAGGACGCGGCAAGCUGCGAUAAUCCCCGGCGAGGAGCACACAUCCUUCGACCCGGGGGUCUCCGAAUGGGCGAACCCAUGCACAGCAGUGUGCAUAUCCCCGGCCUGAACACAUAGGGCCGGGGAGGACAACCCGGGGAACUGAAACAUCUAAGUACCCGGAGGAAAAGAAAGAAAACUCGAUUCCGUAAGUAGCGGCGAGCGAACGCGGAGGAGCCUAAACCGGAAUGCGUGCAUUCCGGGGUUACGGACUGCAUUUAAGAUUCUUUGAAGCUAACAGAACGGUUUUGGGAAAGCCGGCCGGAGAGGGUGAAAGCCCCGUACGUGAAAGCUGAUGAGACUGAGCAGGAUCCAGAGUACCACGAGACACGUGGAACCUUGUGGGAAAUCAGGGGGACCACCCCCUAAGGCUAAAUACUACUUAGUGACCGAUAGCGCAUAGUACUGUGAAGGAAAGGUGAAAAGGACCCCGGGAGGGGAGUGAAAGAGAACCUGAAACCCUGUGUCUACAAGCUGUGGAAGCACUUUAUAUGUGCGACCGCGUACUUUUUGUAGAACGGUCCGGCGAGUUACGCUUACUGGCAAGGUUAAGCACUUCAGGUGUGGAGCCGUAGGGAAACCAAGUCUUAAGAGGGCCUUAAGUCAGUAGGAGUAGACCCGAAACCGGGUGAUCUAUCCAUGUCCAGGUUGAAGUUGCCGUAAAAGGCAAUGGAGGACCGAACCCACAUCCGUUGAAAAGGGUGGGGAUGAGGUGUGGAUAGGGGAGAAAUUCCAAUCGAACCCGGAGAUAGCUGGUUCUCCUCGAAAUAGCUUUAGGGCUAGCCUCGAUACAGAUUUGCGGAGGUAGAGCACUGAAUUUCCUAGGGGGCGUCAAAGCCUACCGAAGAAUAUCAAACUCCGAAUGCCGCGUAAUCGAUUAUCGGGAGUCAGACUGCACGAGAUAAGUUGGGCGGUCAAAAGGGAAAGAGCCCAGACCUUCAGUUAAGGUCCCCAAGUGCGCGUUAAGUGGAAAAGGAUGUGGGAUUUCGAAGACAACCAGGAUGUUGGCUCAGAAGCAGCCAUCCAUUCAAAGAGUGCGUAAUAGCUCACUGGUCGAGAGGUCCUGCGCCGAAAAUGUCCGGGGCUGAAACACGACACCGAAGCUUAGGAAUGUAGUAAUACAUUGGUAGAGGAGCAUUCUUAAAGGGACGAAGCAGUACCGUAAGGAGCUGUGGACUUUUAAGAAGAGAGAAUGCCGGAAUGAGUAGCGAGAGGAAGGUGGGAAUCCUUCCGGCCGAAUAUCUAAGGUUUCCAGAGUAAAGCUGAUCUGCUCUGGGUAAGUCGGGGCCUAAGGCGAGGACGAGAGUCGUAGCCGAUGGACAACAGGUGGAGAUUCCUGUACUGCGGUAUGACAGAACUGUGGGGACACGUAAGGAAAGCGGAAGCCGGGAAUGGAAAGCCCGGUGCAAGCGGGGUACCAGUCACUUUGGCAAAUCCGGGUGGCAAUGGGAAGCCGUGAUGCGGAGCGAAAUAAAGUAGCGAAGUCCGUGAGCCAUGCGUCAAGAAAAGCCGCUAUUGUUUAUACCGUACCCGUACCGUAAACCGACACAGGUGGAUGAGGAGAGAAUCCUAAGGCCGGCGGAAGAAGCAUUGUCAAGGAACUCGGCAAAAUGGCCCCGUAACUUAGGGAUAAGGGGUGCCUGGGAAACCAGGCCGCAGAGAAUAGGCUCAAGCAACUGUUUAGCAAAAACACAGGUCUAUGCGAAACCGAAAGGUGAGGUAUAUGGGCUGACGCCUGCCCGGUGCUGGAAGGUUAAGAGGAGAGGUUAGCGGUAACGCGAAGCUUUGAAUUUAAGCCCCAGUAAACGGCGGCCGUAACUAUAACGGUCCUAAGGUAGCGAAAUUCCUUGUCGGGUAAGUUCCGACC
rnacentral:rRNA from 1 species